rnacentral:ncRNA from 1 species
GGUGGUAGGCCCACCGAGAUCGAUCACCAGCGGUAGAUCUCAAACCACCUCAUGCGGCGGCUGUUAAGAGCAGUGGUCGUGAGUGAUGAGGAACGUCAGACAAUGAUCUGGCAAGG